AGAAUCAACGCUGGCGGCGUGCCUAACACAUGCAAGUCGAACGCGAAAGUCCCGCAAGGGAUAAGUAGAGUGGCGAACGGGUGAGUAACACGUGGGUGAUCUACCUUCGAGUGGGGGAUAACGUUCCGAAAGGAACGCUAAUACCGCAUGACGUUCUGGGUUUGAAGACCUGGAAACCAAAGCCGGGGACCGCAAGGCCUGGCGCUUGAAGAGGAGCCCGCGUCCGAUUAGCUAGUUGGCGGGUAACGGCCCACCAAGGCAACGAUCGGUA
rnacentral:rRNA from 1 species